rnacentral:lncRNA from 1 species
UCAAAUCAAGAAAACUCCAAGUCAAAUUAAAAUCAUCCAUCAUAUAACAUCACAUAAUACAUCUCCAAGGUUUACAUAACACAAUAACUCAUCUCAUGAAUACAUUUCCUUACACAGGAAUAUAGCAAGAACGGACAGAAUUACACAAUAAAACAAUGGCACAUCUGCUAACAAUGGAGUUCAUUCCACUCUCCUAUGAGACAUAGGUUC